AGAGUUUGAUCAUGGCUCAGGACGAACGCUGGCGGCGUGCCUAAUACAUGCAAGUCGAGCGAGCUUGCCUAGAUGAUUUUAGUGCUUGCACUAAAUGAAACUAGAUACAAGCGAGCGGCGGACGGGUGAGUAACACGUGGGUAACCUGCCCAAGAGACUGGGAUAACACCUGGAAACAGAUGCUAAUACCGGAUAACAACACUAGACGCAUGUCUAGAGUUUGAAAGAUGGUUCUGCUAUCACUCUUGGAUGGACCUGCGGUGCAUUAGCUAGUUGGUAAGGUAACGGCUUACCAAGGCAAUGAUGCAUAGCCGAGUUGAGAGACUGAUCGGCCACAUUGGGACUGAGACACGGCCCAAACUCCUACGGGAGGCAGCAGUAGGGAAUCUUCCACAAUGGACGAAAGUCUGAUGGAGCAACGCCGCGUGAGUGAAGAAGGGUUUCGGCUCGUAAAGCUCUGUUGGUAGUGAAGAAAGAUAGAGGUAGUAACUGGCUCUUUUAUUUGACGGUAAUUACUUAGAAAGUCACGGCUAACUACGUGCCAGCAGCCGCGGUAAUACGUAGGUGGCAAGCGUUGUCCGGAUUUAUUGGGCGUAAAGCGAGUGCAGGCGGUUCAAUAAGUCUGAUGUGAAAGCCUUCGGCUCAACCGGAGAAUUGCAUCAGAAACUGUUGAACUUGAGUGCAGAAGAGGAGAGUGGAACUCCAUGUGUAGCGGUGGAAUGCGUAGAUAUAUGGAAGAACACCAGUGGCGAAGGCGGCUCUCUGGUCUGCAACUGACGCUGAGGCUCGAAAGCAUGGGUAGCGAACAGGAUUAGAUACCCUGGUAGUCCAUGCCGUAAACGAUGAGUGCUAAGUGUUGGGAGGUUUCCGCCUCUCAGUGCUGCAGCU
rnacentral:rRNA from 1 species